rnacentral:lncRNA from 1 species
UAAUAAUAUGAUAAGGAAUUGAAUUUGUUAUAUGAUGAUAUGUAUAAAAUAACAAAGAAAGAAGUCAAAAUUAUUUAAUCAAAUGUAAAGUAAUAAAAACCAAAUAAGAUAAACAAAAACAAAUGUAUAUGAAACCAAUAAUUUAAAAUAUGAAAAUAGAGAAAAAUUGGGGUUCUUUAUCUCUUAGGUUGAAAUCUCAAAACCAACUUUAUGCAAUAAUUCAACUACUUUAUUCCUAGAUUCUGUUAAGUUUGAAUCAUUCAUGUUUGGAAUUACACAAUAUUUAAUACAUGAUUUAUGAGGGCAAAAACCAGUUCUUUUUUUUAGUAAAAAUAUGGCGUACACUUUUGUCAAAAAGAAAAAUAAACUUAUUAAUCUAAUUUUUCUUUUUGGAGACAGAAAGGCAAAUGCUCCUCUAGGUUUUGCCAUUCCAAAAAAGUAACAUUUAUUAUGGUACACAAUAUAACUCAUUACCUUUUAUUCUAUUUACCAUAAACCAAUUACCUUAAUAUGUUACCCACUCACAAUUGAGUCUAACUUUUUUUUUUUUUUUUUUCUUUUAAAUUAAAGUUUGUAGCCUCUUGACGCUCUUGAUAUAAAUGAAAGUAAUUGUUUGUUAUGGGUGAUCGAUGUUAAAAUUCGUUUAGAUGCCAUAUCUAGUUAAGGAAUGGCAAAGACUAUGGUUUUUCAAAUGAUCGACAAAUAUCAUGAUUUUUUUUUGACAUCUUCACAAGGGAUUAAAGGUUGAAUAUUUUACGGUAAAAGAUCCCUAUAAUCGAUGACAAAGUUUGAAAGAAAUGUAUGAUCAUAAAAAAAAAAAAACAAUAAUGAAGGGAUAAAAGCUCUGGCAACGGAAUAUUUAAUAUAGACCGCAAGGAGGUGCGCAAGAUUUGUACUAAAAUUUUGAAAACUUUUCGAAGAACCUCACAAGGCAAGCAAAAGUAAAGCGUUUUAAACUAAGCCAAAAGCAAAAUAAUUGUUGUAAAUUUAGUAAUCUAGGAUUAAAUUAAUCUUAACUUGACAUCAAUGCCUUGAUACUUGGAGAAGGAAAAAAAUACUUAGUGAGUGAGGUUUUAGAAAUCCUUCAUGGAGAAUACAAUACAAUCAAGUAAAUUCAUUUUCUAUAAAUAGGCUCAUAACACCUCAUUUAAAACAUAUAAAACACUAAUUAGCCUCUAUUUAUUCAUUUCACCGAGAACAUGAACCAUUCAUAGCAUAGACUAAUGUAAUUUCUCAUAUCACCGACAUUCCUUAGAGAAUUUCUUGAUUCAUUUCCCAUUUCUGAAAGGUGCUAACUCAAUAUGCUCAUUCUAACGCAUUAACUAGAUUUUUACUAUCAUGUGGUCAUUUCACCCCAUAGUUGUCUUGACUCAUUAUGUGCACAUAAUAACUAGUUUAUGAUAGGAAUAUAGCUAAUGGUUUACUCGCAUACAUAACAUACAAUCAUCACAUACAAACUUUAUCUCAUAAACUUUCUUUUUAAAUAAACAAGCUAUUUAAUCAACAUCAACCACAUCACAUGAACAUUUCAUUACAACAUAAAGACUAAGAACCAAUGCUUUUAGAACACUGGCACUCACAAACAAAAAUUGCUAAAGUUGUAUUUUUACAAAAUUCAUCAAAGCUCAGUUGAAAUUGUGAAAUUAGAUUAUGAAUAAAAGAAAGAAUGAUAGUAAAGAAUAAACAAAAUGUUUAAAACGAUGACUUUUCUUUUGUUU